GAUGAACGCUGGCGGCGUGCCUAAUACAUGCAAGUCGAGCGAACAGACGAGGAGCUUGCUCCUCUGACGUUAGCCGCGGACGGGUGAGUAACACGUGGAUAACCUACCUAUAAGACGGGGAUAACUUCGGGAAACCGGCGCUAAUACCGGAUAAUCUCUUGAACCGCAUGGUUCAAUAGUGAAAGACGGUUUUGCUGUCACUUAUAGAUGGAUCCGCGCCGCAUUAGCUAGUUGGUAAGGUAACGGCUUACCAAGGCAACGAUGCGUAGCCGACCUGAGAGGGUGAUCGGCCACACUGGAACUGAGACACGGUCCAGACUCCUACGGGAGGCAGCAGUAGGGAAUCUUCCGCAAUGGGCGAAAGCCUGACGGAGCAACGCCGCGUGAGUGAUGAAGGUCUUCGGAUCGUAAAGCUCUGUUAUUAGGGAAGAACAAAUGUGGAAGUAACUAUGCACGUCUUGACGGUACCUAAUCAGAAAGCCACGGCUAACUACGUG
rnacentral:rRNA from 1 species